ensembl:snoRNA
AAAAUCCUGAAGCACGGCUGGCAGUUUUCUGAAGCUGUGAGUUUCAAGCAGGAGCCUAAAGUGAUAUCUUGUUCUGGUCUGCUUGCCAUUUUAGAAAUGUUAUGGUCAAUUCAUUAGAAAGAAACAGCU